rnacentral:rRNA from 1 species
UGGGGAAUAUUGCACAAUGGGCGCAAGCCUGAUGCAGCCAUGCCGCGUGUAUGAAGAAGGCCUUCGGGUUGUAAAGUACUUUCAGUCGGGAGGAAGGUGGUAAGGUUAAUAACCUUAUCAAUUGACGUUACCGACAGAAGAAGCACCGGCUAACUCCGUGCCAGCAGCCGCGGUAAUACGGAGGGUGCAAGCGUUAAUCGGAAUUACUGGGCGUAAAGCGCACGCAGGCGGUUGAUUGAGUCAGAUGUGAAAUCCCCGGGCUUAACCCGGGAAUUGCAUCUGAUACUGGUCAGCUAGAGUCUUGCGGAGGGGGGUAGAAUUCCAUGUGUAGCGGUGAAAUGCGUAGAGAUGUGGAGGAAUACCGGUGGCGAAGGCGGCCCCCUGGACAAAGACUGACGCUCAGGUGCGAAAGCGUGGGGAGCAAACAGG